rnacentral:lncRNA from 1 species
CGAUGCCGCUGUUGCCACCAACACGCUACACUCCUCCCAGGAGACCUUAAAGCUCCAACGGCCGUCCCCUCCCCGGCCGUGACCCCCCCCAGCGCCCCACACGCCCCGCGCUCAGUCGGUCCCGCAGAGGGAGCCAAUCAGCUGUCCGGUCAGCCGACCAAUAGGACGACCGCACGGUUCAACGCACGCCUGCCCACCUCCACGCCGUCCCGGAGCCCUACGGGGGUCCCCAAUGGAGACCCCCAGUCCGUGGCCCCCUCUCUGGGCCGCCUGGCCCCCCCAGGCGGCCCCUCGGCCUGUCUUACAGCCGGGGCUUACGGCGGCACGCUAGCAUCGUCUCCCCCUCUCCCAGGGGCCCUGGCCCCGUCUCACCCUCUCCCUCUCCCAGGGGCCCUGGCCCCGUCUCACCCUCUCCCUCUCCCACAGGCCCUGGUCCCGUCUCAUCCUCUCCCAGGGGCCCUCACCCUGUCUCCCCCUCUCCCUGGGGCCCUGGCCCUGUUUCACCCUGGCCCUCUCCCAGGGGCCCUGGCCCUGUUUCACCCUCGCCCUCUCCCAGGGGCCCUGGCCCUGUCUCACCCUCUCCCAGGGGCCCUGUCUCACCCUCUCCCAGGGGCCCUGGCCCUGUCUCACCCUCUCCCAGGGGCCCUGGCCCUGUCUCACCCUCUCCCACAGCCCGGGGCCCCGUCUCACCCUCUUACACGGGCCCCCUGCCCCCGCCCCCUCCCCUCCCUGGCAGCCUAUCAGCAGCCCCCUCAGACCCCCCCUGGUCCCGCCCCCUCCGCCAACCCCCUGGCCCUGCCUCUCUCCCUGGUUGCCCCGUCUCCACAUCCCCGUCCCACUAUCCCGGUGGGACGGCCCGUCGCCCCCCCUCCCUCUGACCCGCCAGGGAGGCCCCUCCCCCUACAGAACCCGCCUCCUACCUUUGGACCAAUAGGAGGAGGAGGAGGAGCGGUCACUGGCCGAGCGACGGAGGACGAGGGGGAACGGGUGGAGUGCACGGCAGGGGCGUGGACGGCGAAGGAGUGCACGGUGGAAAGAUUGCAACAUACGCUGGAGGAGCUCUGGACCGCGCUAGCGGGAAAAGGUUACACGGCGGCAGAGCGGCUGCUGACUGAGUUUGAGCGGGCGUUGGCAGAUGGCCCUCAGGGGACCCCGGGCCCUCUGGGGCCCCAGACCAGCCUGGCCCCGCAGGCGCUACGCAGCCAGAACGCCCAGCCGCACCGGGGUAUGAGGAUCUUCAACCAGCAGUUGCAGGAGAGAGAGAGGGCCGAGAGACUUUGCAGAGAAAGCCACUGUGACGCAAUGCGCCUGGAGGCGGAGCUUAGCGCCGUCCAAUCACAGCUGGGGAGGCUGCAGGCGGAGGUGUCGGAGCUGCGGAUGGCCUUGCAUGAGAAGGACGCCGAGAACGCCCGCAUCAGAGCAGGCUCUGUGGCCCGGUGUCCCGGGACGUCUGGCCAGGUGCUCCUGCUGGCCCAGACGAGGCUGAAGGAGAUGGCGUCUCGGCCCGGUCUCUGCAGUGUGCUCCAGGGGCCCCCUCUGACCCGCCGGG